rnacentral:rRNA from 1 species
UACAGAGGGUGCAAGCGUUGUUCGGAAUCAUUGGGCGUAAAGGGCGUGUAGGCGGUUUGUUAAGUCAUGUGUGAAAUCCCUCGGCUCAACCGGGGAACGACGCUUGAAACUGGCAAGCUAGAGUACCAAAGAGGGCGGUGGAAUUCCCGGUGUAGUGGUGGAAUGCGUAGAUAUCAGGAGGAACACCAGUGGCGAAGGCGGUUGCCUGGAGCUUUGCUGACGCUGAUGCGCGAAAGCGUGGGGAGCGAUCCGG